GGCGACCGGCGCACGGGUGAGUAACACGUAUCCAACCUGCCCUUUACUCGGGGAUAGCCUUUCGAAAGAAAGAUUAAUACCCGAUAGCAUAAUGAUUCCGCAUGGUUUCAUUAUUAAAGGAUUCCGGUAAAGGAUGGGGAUGCGUUCCAUUAGGUUGUUGGUGGGGUAACGGCCCACCAAGCCUUCGAUGGAUAGGGGUUCUGAGAGGAAGGUCCCCCACAUUGGAACUGAGACACGGUCCAAACUCCUACGGGAGGCAGCAUG
rnacentral:rRNA from 1 species